GACCGCUGGCCGGCAUGCUUUACACAUGCAAGUCGAACGGCAGCGAGGAGAAGCUUGCUUCUCUGUCGGCGAGUGGCGAACGGGUGAGUAUAGCAUCGGAACGUGCCAAGUAGUGGGGGAUAACCAAACGAAAGUUUGGCUAAUACCGCGUAAGCUCUAAGGAGGAAAGUAGGGGGCCUAAAUAAGGCCUUACGCUAUUUGAUCGGCCGAUGUCGGAUUAGCUAGUUGGUGGGGUAAUGGCUCACCAAGGCAAUGAUCCGUAGCGGGUCUGAGAGGACGAUCCGCCACACUGGGACUGAGACACGGCCCAGACUCCUACGGGAGGCAGCAGUGGGGAAUUUUGGACAAUGGGGGAAACCCUGAUCCAGCCAUGCCGCGUGUAUGAAGAAGGCCUUAGGGUUGUAAAGUACUUUUGUUAGGGAAGAAAAGCUAGUUUUUAAUAAAAAUUAGUGAUGACGGUACCUAAAGAAUAAGCACCGGCUAACUACGUGCCAGCAGCCGCGGUAAUACGUAGGGUGCAAGCGUUAAUCGGAAUUAUUGGGCGUAAAGCGAGUGCAGACGGUUACUUAAGCCAGAUGUGAAAUCCCCAAGCUUAACUUGGGACGUGCAUUUGGAACUGGGUGACUAGGGUGUGUCAGAGGGAGGUAGAAUUCCACAUGUAGCGGUGGAAUGCGUAGAGAUGUGGAGGAAUACCGAUGGCGAAGGCAGCCUCCUGGGAUAACACUGACGUUGAGGCUCGAAAGCGUGGGGAGCAAACAGGAUUAGAUACCCUGGUAGUCCACGCCCUAAACGAUGACAAUUAGCUGUUGGGCUUUGAAAGGCUUAGUAGCGAAGCUAACGCGAGAAAUUGUCCGCCUGGGGAGUACGGUCGCAAGAUUA
rnacentral:rRNA from 1 species